rnacentral:misc_RNA from 1 species
GUAGGUGAACCUGCGGAAGGAUCAUUAACAAUCACGGAGGGUGGGGUGGAGUGGGGAGUGGAGUGAGCCAAGUGGGGGGAGUUAUCUCUUUGCUUGACCUUGCUCUACCUCUACCACCAUCCCAACCCUUACAAAAACGCAGGGUAGCGUUUACCGCGCGACCCUGAGUAGUCUGGAAGGCGAGUGUGCGCUUCUUGCGAGGCGACACGCUGGCCGGAAGGGCUUUGUUUCUUUGUUGCGCUGCUGUGUG